GUAAUGAUGAAUGUGGUGUUAAGUGUGACAUGCUGAUGGAAUUCUUGAAGGAUUUUAAAGGUGCAGCCCAGUUACUCGAAAAGGGUGGCUACUCGCAGUUCACACCACAUUAUAUAACUUGGUAUUGCCCACAGGCAUUCAUUCUAAGCAAACAGUGCAAGUCCCAAUGUAUCAAUCAAGGGAGGUAUUGUGCUCCUGAUCCUGAACAG
rnacentral:misc_RNA from 1 species